rnacentral:rRNA from 1 species
UACGGGGGGGGCAAGCGUUGUUCGGAAUUACUGGGCGUAAAGGGCUCGUAGGUGGCCAACUAAGUCAGACGUGAAAUCCCUCGGCUUAACCGGGGAACUGCGUCUGAUACUGGAUGGCUUGAGUUUGGGAGAGGGACGCGGAAUUCCAGGUGUAGCGGUGAAAUGCGUAGAUAUCUGGAGGAACACCGGUGGCGAAGGCGGCGUCCUGGACCAAUACUGACACUGAGUGAGCGAAAGCCAGGGGAGCAAACGGG